rnacentral:rRNA from 1 species
ACGGCGUAGUAAUGCAUCGGAACGUACCCUCUGGUCGGGGAUAGCUACGGGAAACUGUAGGUAAUACCCGAUGAUCUCUGCGGAGCAAAGGUGAGAUUCCGCCGGAGGAGCGGCUGAUGUGAUAUUAGCUAGUUGGUGGGGUAAUGGCCUACCAAGGCGAUGAUGUCUAGGGGGUGUGAGAGCAUGGCCCCCACGACCGGAACUGAGAUACUGUCCGGACACCUACGGGUGGCUGCAGUCGAGAAUCCUCCGCAAUGGACGAAAGUCUGACGGAGCGACGCCGCGUGCGGGAUGAAGGCCCUUGGGUUGUAAACCGCUGUCAGAGGGGAUGAAAUCUUCGGAGGUACUCCUCCGAAGUUGACAGAGCCUCAAAGGAAGCACGGGCUAAGUACGUGCCAGCAGCCGCGGUAACACGUACUGUGCGAACGUUAUUCGGAAUCACUGGGCUUAAAGGGUGCGUAGGCGGCGAAUCAAGUCAGGUGUGAAAGGCCUGAGCUCAACUGAGGCAUUGCGCUUGAAACUGAUUUGCUUGAGUAUCCCAGGGGUGUGCGGAACUGCCAGUGGAGCGGUGAAAUGUGUUGA